AGAAGAGAUGUGAAUACUUUCAUCCCUGGACCUCCAGUGGAGAAGGCUGCGUGUCCUUCAGAGAAACCCGGCCUUUGUUCCAUACAGCAAGGAGUUAUAGGAUGGAGGAACAAAGAAUCUUUGGAGAGUAGCUGAUUCCUUGUCUUAGGCUGAGGAAAAAUCGACAUGGAUUUGAAAAUCUUAUUUUUGCUGGAAAUCAAGAGUGCUUUCAGAAAAUCUCAAAGAGUACAAAAAGAAAAGCAGAGGUGCUGGGAGAAACUGGGAGCCAGAGCCUGCUCUUUCCCAUUCAGAGGGAGGCAGCGGAGGCGAAGGACCAGGAGCAGGAACUCUGAAGCCAGAGGAAUUUUAAAACAUUGGUAUGAUCCUAGGC
rnacentral:lncRNA from 1 species